AGAUGUGUUUGAAAAUGACAUAUGACAACAUCACAAACAAUUCCAAAAUAAGUGUGCAAGCACCAUAUAGUGUUAUCAAAGACAGGCUGAGUGAUCUUGAUCGAGGACUGUCGAAUCGAACCCCAUGCCGGCUGACUGGCAGCACGGUUCGGUAUGGAUCCAUGCCGAGCCAAACCGAUAGGGCAAAGAAGGGGAGAGGGAGAAGAAAGAGAGGAAGCGGGAGAGACAAGGAGAAAGAGAGGAAGAAAGGGAGAAGGAGGGAGAG
rnacentral:lncRNA from 1 species